rnacentral:rRNA from 1 species
GACGAACGCUGGCGGCGUGCCUAAUACAUGCAAGUUGAGCGAUGAAGAUUGGUGCUUGCACCAAUUUGAAGAGCAGCGAACGGGUGAGUAACGCGUGGGGAAUCUGCCUUUGAGCGGGGGACAACAUUUGGAAACGAAUGCUAAUACCGCAUAACAACUUUAAACAUAAGUUUUAAGUUUGAAAGAUGCAAUUGCAUCACUCAAAGAUGAUCCCGCGUUGUAUUAGCUAGUUGGUGAGGUAAAGGCUCACCAAGGCGAUGAUACAUAGCCGACCCGAGAGGGUGAUCGGCCACAUUGGGACUGAGACACGGCCCAAACUCCUACGGGAGGCAGCAGUAGGGAAUCUUCGGCAAUGGACGAAAGUCUGACCGAGCAACGCCGCGUGAGUGAAGAAGGUUUUCGGAUCGUAAAACUCUGUUGGUAGAGAAGAACGUUGGUGAGAGUGGAAAGCUCAUCAAGUGACGGUAACUACCCAGAAAGGGACGGCUAACUACGUG